rnacentral:rRNA from 1 species
UACGUAGGGUGCAAGCGUUGUCCGGAAUUAUUGGGCGUAAAGGGCUCGUAGGCGGCCAACUAAGUCAGACGUGAAAUCCCUCGGCUUAACCGGGGAAUUGCGUCUGAUACUGGAUGGCUCGAGUUUGGGAGAGGGAUGCGGAAUUCCAGGUGUAGCGGUGAAAUGCGUAGAUAUCUGGAGGAACACCGGUGGCGAAGGCGGCAUCCUGGACCAACACUGACGCUGAGGAGCGAAAGCCAGGGGAGCAAACGGG